GAGGUAACGGCUCACCCAAGGCAACGAUGGGUAGGGGAACUGAGAGGUUUAUCCCCCACCACUGGUACUGAGACACGGACCAGACUCCUACGGGAGGCAGCAGUGAGGAAUAUUGGUCAAUGGGCGAGAGCCUGAACCAGCCAAGUCGCGUGAAGGAAGACUGUCCUAAGGAUUGUAAACUUCUUUUAUACGGGAAUAACGGGCGAUACGCGUAUUGCUGUGAAUGUACCGUAAGAAUAAGCAUCGGCUAACUCCGUGCCAGCAGCCGCGGUAAUACGGAGGAUGCGAGCGUUAUCCGGAUUUAUUGGGUUUAAAGGGUGCGUAGGUUGUUCGGUAAGUCAGCGGUGAAAACUGAGCGCUCAACGUUCAGCGUGCCGUUGAAACUGCCGGGCUUGAGUUCAGAGGCGGCAGGCGGAAUUCGUGGUGUAGCGGUGAAAUGCAUAGAUAUCACGAGGAACUCCGAUUGCGAAGGCAGCUUGCCAUACUGCGACUGACACUGAAGCACGAAGGCGUGGGUAUCAAACAGGAUUAGAUACCCUGGUAGUCCACGCAGUAAACGAUGAUUACUAGGAGUUUGCGAUAUACCGUCAAGCUUCCACAGCGAAAGCGUUAAGUAAUCCACCUGGGGAGUACGCCGGCAACGGUGAAACUCAAAGGAAUUGACGGGGGCCCGCACAAGCGGAGGAACAUGUGGUUUAAUUCGAUGAUACGCGAGGAACCUUACCCGGGAUUGAAAUGUAGACGACGGAUGGUGAAAGCCGUCUUCCCUUCGGGGCGUCUAUGUAGGUGCUGCAUGGUUGUCGUCAGCUCGUGCCGUGAGGUGUCGGCUUAAGUGCCAUAACGAGCGCAACCCACAUCGGUAGUUGCUAACAGGUUUAGCUGAGGACUCUACCGAGACUGCCGUCGUAAGGCGUGAGGAAGGUGUGGAUGACGUCAAAUCAGCACGGCCCUUACAUCCGGGGCGACACACGUGUUACAAUGGGAGGGACAAAGGGCAGCUACCGGGCGACCGGAUGCGAAUCUCGAAACCCUUCCCCAGUUCGGAUCGGAGUCUGCAACUCGACUCCGUGAAGCUGGAUUCGCUAGUAAUCGCGCAUCAGCCAUGGCGCGGUGAAUACGUUCCCGGGCCUUGUACACACCGCCCGUCAAGCCAUGGGAGUCGGGGGUACCUGAAGGGCGUAACCGCA
rnacentral:rRNA from 1 species